rnacentral:rRNA from 1 species
CCUACGGGGGGCAGCAGUGGGGAAUAUUGCACAAUGGGGGGAACCCUGAUGCAGCAACGCCGCGUGGGUGAAGAAGUACUCCGGUAUGUAAAGCCCUGUCAGCAGGGAAGAAAAUGACGGUACCUGACCAAGAAGCCCCGGCUAACUACGUGCCAGCAGCCGCGGUAAGACGUAGGGGGCAAGCGUUAUCCGGAUUUACUGGGUGUAAAGGGAGCGUAGACGGCAAGGCAAGUCUGGAGUGAAAGCCCGGGGCCCAACCACGGGACUGCUUUGGAAACUGUGUUGCUGGAGUGCAGGAGGGGUAAGCGGAAUUCCUAGUGUAGCGGUGAAAUGCGUAGAUAUUAGGAGGAACACCGGUGGCGAAGGCGGCUUACUGGACUGUAACUGACGUUGAGGCUCGAAGGCGUGGGGAGCAAACAGGAUUAGAUACCCGAGUAGUC